rnacentral:rRNA from 1 species
AUUCGAUGCAACGCGAAGAACCUUACCAAGGCUUGACAUAUAGUUGAGUUAUUGAGAAAUUGAUAAGUCCCUCGGGACAGCUAUACAGGUGGUGCAUGGUUGUCGUCAGCUCGUGUCGUGAGAUGUUGGGUUAAGUCCCGCAACGAGCGCAACCCUUAUCUUCAGUUACCAGCACGUAAUGGUGGGGACUCUGGAGAGACUGCCGAUGAUAAAUCGGAGGAAGGUGGGGAUGACGUCAAAUCAUCAUGCCCUUUAUGUCUUGGGCUACACACGUGCUACAAUGGUUGGUACAACGAGAAGCGAGAUAGUGAUGUCAAGCAAAACUCUAAAAGCCAAUCUCAGUUCGGAUUGUAGGCUGCAACUCGCCUACAUGAAGUCGGAGUUGCUAGUAAUCGUGAAUCAGAAUGUCGCGGUGAAUACGUUCCCGGGCCUAGUACAC